rnacentral:misc_RNA from 1 species
ACACCCUCAAGCACUGCUUGGUGUUGGGCGUCUGUCCCGCCUCCGCGCGUGGACUCGCCCCAAAGUCAUUGGCAGCGGUCUCAGCACCUCAACGCGCAGUACAAUGCGUUCAUUGGAGUGCUUUGGACGCGACCAUAAAGCUAUUUACCGUCU